UCCUAUGGGCUCCAUGGGUGCUCCUUGGGUGCCACGGGACCCAUGGGUGCUCCUCAGUGUCCUAUGGGCGCCAUGGGUGCUCCUUGGUGUCCUAUGGGCUCCAUGGGUACUCCUUGGUGUCCUAUGGGCUCCAUGGGUGCUCCUUGGGUGCC